ensembl:lncRNA
UCUCUGUGUGCUGCCUUUUGCUAUUAAACUAAAAGCUUCUUGAAGGAAAAGUCUCUUUCUCUUUUUUUAAUUUACAUCCAUAGUAUUUAGCUAGGGUGGCUAGGUGGUUCAGUGAAUAGAGUGUCAGGCCUGGAAUCAGAAAGACCUGAGUUCAAAUCAGGCCUCAGACUCUUACUAGAGAGAGGAAUUGGUGAGAUAUAAUUGAGAUCAAAAGAUGUCACACCAGGAAAUAGUUGAAUGAUAGAAGCUGAAUCUUGAGCCCCCUCCCCCUCUCUACUUCCUGUUCUUCCUUCACCAAGCAACCUAUUAGAGGUUUUCUUCAUAGAUGGUAAGUCAAAUUCCUCUCUCUAAUAACAAAAUCUUUCAAAGAAUUUUUUAUUCUUUUGGGGAGAAGGAAAUAAGAAUGAGGCUGGGAAAGAGGGGAAAGGAUCUUUUAUUCUUUUGGGGAGAAGGAAAUAAGAAUGAGGCUGGAAAAGAGGGGAAAGGGUCUCCCUAUUUCUAAAUUGAAAUAUUGGUUUAAAGCUUUGAAAUAAGUCUCUUCAAAAGGACAAAAACAUCUCUUCUCCUGGGGGAAGAUGGCAAUAACCCUGCUAGAGUCUUUUCUGGACAAGACUGUCUUCUUUCAGCUCCAAUUAGAGGUAGAAAAGGUAAUGACCAGACAGAAGAUGAAAAUAGCAUCUUCAGACCAAUCUCCACAAAAGAAGGGAAAAAAGAAUGAGACCAGGAUAGUUGGGGUCUAACCGACAGCUUCUUUUUCAAGCUUCCAUGGAACUGUCACCCUCUCCUCUCUCUCUCCUCCCCCGAUGAUCUGUGUUCCAUGUGAUUUUUUUUUCUCUUUGCUUUGCAGGUCAUUUCUUCUGUCUGUGCCCAAAUUUCUUCAAUCACAAUGUGCAACCCUGGGCAAGUCACUUAGUACUGUUGGCCUCAGUUUCCUCAUCUGUUGAAUGAGCUGGAGAAGGAAAUGGCAAACUGCUCUUUCUUUGCUUCAGAUUCUUGCUAGCUGUGUGACCCUGUGUAAGUCACUUAACCUGGUGGCCUCAGUUUCCUCAUCCGUCAAAUGAGCUGGAGCAGGAAAUGGCAAACUGCUCUAGUUUUUUGUUAUUGUUUUUUUUUGCCAAGAAAACCCCAAAUGGGGUCAUGAAAACUCAGACACAUCUCGACAACAACAUAGCGUUUAGCACACACCUGGUACAUAGUAAGUGCUUAUGACGCCCUUUUCAUUCAUUUUCAUUCAUUCAUUCAUUCACUGGAUGCUCACCUCUCCCCUCCAUUUGUCUCGCUCUACAUAAUUUGUUCUGACAGCCUCACUCACAACAGCAGAAAGGCCUGGUGUCUUGCCAGGGCGAGUACCCAGCAGAGCACAGAAAAGCUCCCAAGACAUCCAAAUGCACAGCCACCCCCCACUUGUGGUGAUUCAUCGGGGCACAAAUGAUACCGACAAAAAUCAGCUUUAAAAACCAUUUGCCAAAGCUGGGGAAGUUUCAUGCACAGAACCGACGACAAAAGAGGCCCAGAUUGCGUUUGUGGCCCUGUUCCCCACUGAAGGCAAAGGAUGCCAAAGAGAGAAAUGGAUGCAGGAAGCAAACAGCUACCAUCUAAGAAGGUGGUUUCUAAGGAUGGGACUUUGGUUUCUGGAACAGAGUCCAAAAAUAGAGUGAUUGACAGAUUCCUGUCCUGGGACAGACACAGCUAACAAAGUUUGGGCAGGAUGUAUCUGCCCCGGAGGGAGAGGAGGCUCAGUGAAUUGAGAGCCAGACCUAGGGACAGGAGGUCCUGGGUUCAAAUCUGACCUCAGAUGUUUCCUGGCAGUAUGACCUGGGCAGAUCACUUAAUCCCCAUUUCCUUGCUCUUACCAUUCUUCUGCCUUUGAUCCAAUACAAGCUAUUGAUUCUAAGAUGGAAGAUGAAGGUUUAAAAAAAAUUAAUCUUCCAGAUAUUUUGUAAAUCUAAUCAAAAGCAUGUUAGACUUAAAAGGAUGGAGGAGGGGAAAACCUACCUAUUUAUAACUAACAAAAUAGGCAGCACAAAACAAGGGUUCUUUUUUAAAAAAUUCAGGUUCAUUUCCCCCCAAUUAUAGGUAAAAAGAGUUUCCAACAUCCUAAAAAGAAUUUUGAGUCUUGAAUUCUCUCUCGCUGCCCACUGACAUGGUUGGUGAGCACUCUCAUAUAGAAUGUCCAAGUGCAUCAUUCAAACAUUUUCCCAAAUUAAUGCUUUUGUGGAAGGAAACUGAAGGAAAACAAUAAGAAAGUGAACAAAGUCAAAGGCAAGAGUUCUUUAACAAUGAUUUGAACACAAAUGGUGUCCUUUCUCAUCCUAUGCAUUUAUUUUAUGUAUUUCAGGAUCACAUGAAAUAUCUUUGUAAAGUGCUUAGCAGAGUCCCCAGCAUAUAGCAGUAACUUAAUUAAUGCUUGUCCCCUUCCCUCCUUCCCUUCCCUAAAAGCAUUGUUCUCAGAAGAGGUUCAUAGACUUCCCCAAACUAUCAAGGGGCUCAUAGUCCCCCUAAAGGGGAAGAAUUGCCUUGUUUUGAGAGUAGGUACCACACCCAGAAGUUUUUAAGAGGCAGGGCAGCCAGGUGGUGUAGGACCUAGAAUCUGGAAGAUUCCUCUUUCUGAGUUCAAGUCCUGCCUCAGAUACUUACUAGCUAGGUGACCCUGAGUAAGUCACUUAGUCUUGCUUGCCUCUGUUUAAAAAAAAAGAAAGAAAGAAAUUCAUAAGAGGAAAAAAAAUCCAAGUAAGAAGUCAAUAAGAAAAUCUAGGGUGUCACAUGCCUGUAUACAAAUGUCUAAACUUUAGGGCAUCAAGCAAGUAGAACUCCUCAGUAUCCCAAAAACUUGGAGGACAAGAAACCCAUGAUUAGAAUAUGGCUCAUGAGGGAAUAUAUUAUAUCCAAGAGAAAACAGAUAAGAAACAGUGUAGGGUAAGCUAGGUAGCAUAAGGGCCAAACCUGGAGUCAGGAAGAUGAGUGCAAAUGCAGCCUUAGAUGUUUACUAGCUGAAUGACUCUGGAUAAGUCACAUAACCCUGUUUGCCUCAAUUUCCUUAUUUGUCAAAUGAGCUGGAGAAGGAAAUGACAAUUCACAGCAGUAUCUUUGCUAAGAAAACCCCAAGGGGGCAGCUGGGUAGCUCAGUGGAUUGAGAGCCAGUCCUAGAGAUGGGAGGUCCUGGGUUCAAAUCUGGACUCAGACACUUCCCAGCUGUGUGACCCUGGGCAAGUCACUUGACCCCCAUUGCCUAGCCCUUACCACUCUUAUGCCUUGGAGCCAAUACACAGUAUUGACUCCAAGACAGAAGGUAAGGGUUUAAAAAAGAAAGAAAGAAAGAAAACUCCAAAUGGGGUUACAGAGUUGAACAUUGCUAAAAAACAGCAGUAAACAAUGUAGGGAUGUGUGUGUGUGUGUCUGUGUGUCUGUGUGUGUGUGUGUGCUGAAGGGAGGGCAAGUAGCAUUGUAUAUAAAGAAGUUUUAUUCUAUGAGAAAAUCCAGGAAUCAGAGGAAGAAAGUAUGAUGGAGAAUAUUGGGGGUGAAGAUCCAAAGUGGGGGGGGGGGAGGGACAGCUAGGUGACAUAGAGAACUAUGCCUGGAGCCUGGAGAUCCUGGGUUCAUCUGACCUUGGACAUUUCCUGGCUGUGUGACCCUGGGCACUCCUAUUGUCUAUCCUUUACCAAUCUUCUGCCUUAGAACCAAAACACAGCAUUGAUUCUAUGAUGGUGGAGAAGGAUUUUUUAAAAAAUUCAAAGGAGGGAGCAGCGAGGAGGAAAUAGAAGUGAUUGAGGCAUUGAAGUAUAGACCACAGACCAUUUUGAAAGAAAGGGAAGAAAUGGAGAGUUUAGAAAACAGAUCAAAUCUAUAACAGAAGGUCAUAUGUGUCUGUGUGCAUAUACACACCUACAUAUGCACAAAUAUAUACACAUGGUCUUUAUUAUUCAUGGAUUAUUUUUUUGAGAAUUUGCUUACUCAGAAUUUAUUUACUUCACAAUUUGCUUACUCACAAUUUAUUUUCAAUCAGUGAAGAGAAUUUCAGAUCGUUGACUCCUCUGCCUUUUAAAGAAUGAGAAGAUCCUUAAAGCAAUUCAAAAACAUAUUAGCUACUUUGCUUUUGGGAUACAGAUACAAGUACAGAAAAAGAGAGACCCAGGUUAAAACAUUUAUUUUAAUUAAUAGUCAUUGCCCUCACUCAUUCCUUUUUGGACACAACAUAAAGCAGGGAAAAUUUUGAGCCUCCCAAACCCUACACUCCUAGCCUACACUGAGCAGGGUGACUCUCUGCCUUCUUGAUUUCAGUUCUCCUACAGGAAACAAGUGUCCUUUGAGUGAUCUAUUCAGUUUCACUUUAGGGCAUUUGGGGGGGGGCUUUUUGUUGGUGAUUUCACUGUUUAAAAUGGCCCCCAAGCCUGGCAGUACCAGAUCUUAAACUAUACUAUAAAGUAGUGAUCAUCAAAACAAUAUGGUACUGGCUAAGAGACAGAAGGGAGGAUCAGUGGAAUAGACUUGGGGUUAGUGACCUCAGCAAGACAGUCUAUGAUAAACCCAAAGAUCCGAGCUUUGGGGACAAGAACCCACUAUUUGACAAAAACUGCUGGGAAAACUGGAAAAAGUAUGGGAGAAAUUAGAUUUAGAUCAACAUCUCACACCCUAUACCAAAAUGAAUUCAGAAUGGGUAAAUGACUUAAAUAUAAAAAAGGAAAUUAUAAGUAAAUUAGGUGAACAUAGAAUAGUUUACUUGUCAGAUCUUUAGGAAAGAAAAGAUUUUAAGACCAAACAAGAGCUAGAAAUUAUUACAAAAUGUAAAAUAAAAUAAUUUUGAUUACAUUAAAUUAAAAAGGU